rnacentral:rRNA from 1 species
UACGGGGGGGGGCAAGCGUUGUUCGGAAUUACUGGGCGUAAAGGGCGCGUAGGCGGUUGGAUAAGUCAGCUGUGAAAACCACGGGCUUAACUCGUGGCCUGCAGUUGAGACUGUCUGGCUUGAGUGUGGGAGAGGAGAGUGGAAUUCCUGGUGUAGCGGUGAAAUGCGUAGAUAUCAGGAGGAACACCGGUGGUGUAGACGGCUUUCUGGACCGUAACUGACGCUGAGACACGAAAGCGUGGGUAGCAAACAGG